rnacentral:rRNA from 1 species
UGACCCGUCUUGAAACACGGACCAAGGAGCCUAGCGUAUACGCAAGUCGUUCAGAUUUACAAAACUAGAAUGGCGUAACGAAAGCAAUAAGUAUAUGUUCAUACAUGUAUAUAUACUGUUACGAAGUCGUGUACAAUUUAUGUAUAUGAUUGAAGUAGCAAUACGCUGCUAAGUAGCGUAUUAGAGCGUAUACGGUAGUACCCGAAAGAUGGUGAAUUAUGCUUGAGCAGGGUGAAGCCAAAGGAAACUUUGGUGGAAGCCCGUAGCAAUUUUGACGUGCAAAUCGAUUGUCAGACUUGAGUAUAGCGGCGAAAGACUAAUCGAACCAUCUAGUAGCUGGUUUCCUUCGAAAUUUCCCGCAGGAUAGCAAGCGCACACUAAAUCAUUUGAACCUGUUACAGUAUCAAUAGAAGGUAACGGGGCGUUAAUUGACCUUGUCCUUUUCUUAAACUCGGUCAAUGGGUUAUGUUUGCAUAGCUCGCAACAUGUUUAUUACAUGUUGAAAACGAUAAUGAUCCGCGCUUAGUGGGCCAUUUUUGGUAAGCAGAACUGGCGAUGUGGGAUGAACCGUACACAGAGUUAAAGUGCCUAAUGUAUAUACGCUAAUAAGAUCCCAUUAAAGAUGUUGUUCGCUUAAGACAGUAGGGCGGUGGCCAUGGAAGUCGGCAUCCGCUAAGGAGUGUGUAACAACUCACCUACCGAAGCGUUCAACUCUGAAAAUGGAUGGCGCUUAAGCGUUAUACUGAAACUUUGUCGUAGGAAGUAAUUUCAUUUUCGAAAAUAUAUUGUUAAAUUAGUUUUAAUAAUGUAUAAAUUAGACUCCUACGAGUAGGAGGAAUGCAGUGAUAGCGUCGAAGCUUUAGACGUAAGUCUGGGUGGAGCUGUUGCUGGUACAGAUCUUGGUGGUAGUAGCAAACAAACAAGUGACAACCUUGUUGACCGACGUGGAUACGGGUUCCAUGUGAACAGUAUUUGGUCAUGGGUUAGUCGAUCCUGAAAGGUGCGGCGAAAGCCGUUUCGUAAGAAGUGUUUCUUGAGAAUACACCUUGAAAGGGAAUGGAGUUAAUAUUCUUCAACCAUGCGUGUGAGAAAUUAUAUAAGGCGGUAACGCGUUCGAACUCAGAGACAUCAGUUGGAGUCCUGGGAAGAGAUUUCUUCUCUUCUUUAAGGUGUGCUUAAGUGCCUUGAAACAGUUUAGCUGGAGACAGGGAUGUACGCACCGAAAUACACUGCGCUUCAUGUAGUGCGUUCAGUGUACUCUGAUUGAUCCUUGAAAAUCUGGGCAAGUUUGUAUAAAUCACUGCAUGAUCGUACCUGGAUCCGCAACCGGUAUCCUAGGUAAACAGCCUCUGGUCUAAUAGAAGAAUGUAAGUAAGGGAAGUCGGCAAAACUGAUCUGUAUCUUUGGUACAAAGAUUGGCUCUGGCGCGUUUGUUAUCUGGAUUAUAGUUAGUAAACUUGUGAUAUAUUACUUGUUCUGGUAGGCGUCUCACGAUGCUAACUGGCACUUGUUUUGAAUUACUUGUUAAACACURUAAAYACGGAUAACAAUUAUAACAAAUAGUCAGAACUAUCAUUGACUUUUCGGAAUCUGACUGUUUAAUUAAAACAUAGCAUUGAGAUGACUGGUGACCCAGUGUUGACUCAAUGUGAAUUCUGCCCAGUGCUCUGAAUGUCAACGUGUAGAAAUUCAAUGAAGCGCGGGUAAACGGCGGGAGUAACUAUGACUCUCUUAAGGUAGCCAAAUGCCUCGUCAUCUAAUUAGUGACGUGCAUGAAUGGAUUAACGAGAUUCCAUCUGUCCCUACUUACUAUCUAGCGAAACCACAGCCAAGGGAACGGGCUUGGAAAAAUCAGCGGGGAAAGAAGACCCUGUUGAGCUUGACUCUAGUCUGGCAUUGUGAGGAAACUGUAUUUGGUAUAGCAUAGGUGGGAGGCGUUUCGGCGUCGUUACAAACUGUAAAACCACCACAAUACAGCACCACUCACUGACUUAGUUAUGAGGCUUACUUUGUGAUUUCUUCGGAUUUUGCAAAGGAAACUUGAUAAUUAGUAAACUAAGUCGAGAUGGUAGAUUCGUAUUUGCAGUGAUUAACGUUACUGUAAAUCGAGUUUACACUUAACAUCACGUCGAGGCAUUAUCUAAGGACAGUGCCAGGCGGGGAGUUUGACUGGGGCGGUACAUCUAUCAAAUGCUAACGUAGGUGUCCUAAUGUUAGCUCAGUAAGAACAGAAAUCUUACGUAGAAUAUAAGGGUAUAAGCUGGCUUGAUUCUGAAUAACAGUACGAUUGCGAGACAAGAAAUUGUGGCCUAACGAUCCUUUUGAGAAGCGAAAUAUUAUUAAUGCAUAAUACAAGAGGUGUCAGAAAAGUUACCACAGGGAUAACUGGCUUGUGGCGGCCAAGCGUUCAUAGCGACGCCGCUUUUUGAUCCUUCGAUGUCGGCUCUUCCUAUCAUUGUGA